AUUGAACGCUGGCGGCAUGCUUUACACAUGCAAGUCGAACGGUAACAGGGAGCUUGCUCCGCUGACGAGUGGCGAACGGGUGAGUAAUGCAUCGGAACGUGCCGUGUAAUGGGGGAUAACGUAGCGAAAGUUACGCUAAUACCGCAUACGCCCUGAGGGGGAAAGUGGGGGACCGCAAGGCCUCACGUUAUACGAGCGGCCGAUGUCGGAUUAGCUAGUUGGUGGGGUAAAGGCCUACCAAGGCGACGAUCCGUAGCGGGUCUGAGAGGAUGAUCCGCCACACUGGGACUGAGACACGGCCCAGACUCCUACGGGAGGCAGCAGUGGGGAAUUUUGGACAAUGGGGGGCAACCCUGAUCCAGCCAUGCCGCGUGAGUGAAGAAGGCCUU
rnacentral:rRNA from 1 species